rnacentral:tRNA from 2 species
GGAGAGGUGGUCGAGUGGUCGAUGGCUCCGGUCUUGAAAACCGGCGAGGUGAAAGCCUCCGUGGGUUCGAAUCCCACCCUCUCCG